rnacentral:rRNA from 1 species
AGGACGAACGCUGGCGGCGUGCUUAACACAUGCAAGUCGAGCGGAAAGGCCCUUCGGGGUACUCGAGCGGCGAACGGGUGAGUAACACGUGAGUAACCUGCCCUUGGCUCUGGGAUAGCUCCGGGAAACCGGAAUUAAUACCGGAUAUGACUUCGGCCGACAUCGGCUGCGGUGGAAAGAUUUAUCGGCCAGGGAUGGGCUCGCGGCCUAUCAGCUUGUUGGUGGGGUAACGGCCUACCAAGGCGACGACGGGUAGCCGGCCUGAGAGGGCGACCGGCCACACUGGGACUGAGACACGGCCCAGACUCCUACGGGAGGCAGCAGUGGGAUAUUGCGCAAUGGGCGAAAGCCUGACGCAGCGACGCCGCGUGGGGGAUGAAGGCCUUCGGGUUGUAAACCCUUUCGGCAGGGACGAGCGAAAGUGACGGUACCUGCAGAAGAAGCGCCGGCUAACUACGUGCCAGCAGCCGC